rnacentral:tRNA from 1 species
GGGGGAGUAGCUCAGGUGGUCAGAGCGCGUCCCUGAUAAGGACGAGGUCAGUGGUUCGAGUCCACUCUCCCCCACCA